UUAGUCAAAGAAUUUCGUGUCAAGUGGUGGGACAAAUAUAACAUCGAAAGAUGUUCCCUGACUAAUAUCAAGAAAUUAUUUGACGCAAAUAAACAAGACCACCUUUUAAUCAAAUCCGUCUCCCGCUCUAUUCCACUCUUAACCCCAUCACAAAUAGCCAACAUUCCUCCUUAUCAUCCACCAACCCAAAUCAAACAAGAACCACCAAGCCCAGCUAAAAACAAAAAACCAUCAAGCCCUACCCAUUCAUCCUCCUCAUCCCAAAAAUCCAAAUCAAAAAAAUCCAAACUUCAAGCUAUGAAGGAAACCCUCAAGGCACUUAGUCAAGAAAUGAUGAAUAUAUCGUCCGACGACGAUAGUGUUCACGGUCAAGAACCCGCCGAAAAUCCUGAAGAUCUAUUUGGCGGACCAUUAAGUCAAGACCCUUUUGUUUUGUAAAAAAAAAAAAAAAAAAAAAAAAAAAAAUUCAUCUCAGAUUUUACGACUCACUGGCAAGGUAGAUGUUCCUGGCUGCAAGUCCUGAGCGUAGGCCGUAAGACCGAUGGUAAAUCUCCUUUGUGCGUCUCCAAAAAAAAAAAAAAAAAAAAAAAAAAAACCCAAUAGUAUUGUAUAGUUUUAAAUUUACCUUUAAUAAUGUAUAUUCUGGUAGACUCUGUAUAUUAUUUUAAGCUUUAUGUGUAUUCCGGCUAUAUGCUACACCAGUUAACAUCAAAAUAAAAUACAGAGUAUAUCUCUGUAAAAUCGAAGAAUAAAUCAAGACACAGGAAAUAUGACGCAAGCAUGACGUAAGCAAAGAUGUAAGCAAUAACGCAAGCAAGACGUAAGCAAGGACGUAAGCAAUGACGCAAGCAAUGACGUAAUCAAAACUGUCGGCACCGUUAGAUGAACGACACAUGUCACAAGUGUGUCGGCACCAUCUGAUGAGCUCCACGUAUCAAGACUCUAUACACAAUCUUCUCCUAUAAAUAUGCCCUCAAAACAAAGGAGAAGGAGACGAGCAAAAAAUUCAGAUUUUCUCUCUCUCGAAAAAGCUCUCCCUUCUCUCUAAAAAUUGUAAAAGCUUUUUUAGUUUUAAGUUUUAAAUUUAUCUUUGUAAUUUAAUCUCUAAUCUUUGUAUUUCGAUUUCAAAAAAUAAAAAUUUACUAUUCAAAGGUUACUGUUCACAAAGUAAUUAACGCAAAUUAGUAUUUGUAAAACGUUUUAUAAAUUUUAAAUUAGGUAUUAAACUGGUAUCAGUUGUCAAAACGAUCUUUAACAAAACCAUUGCAGAUUUUGCAAAGUUUUCUUAAGUUAAAAAAUUAUUUUAUCUAUUUAAUAAUAAAAGAAAAUCUAAAUUUUGCAUACAUAAUAUAACUCAAUUUUUUAUAUUUAAGCAAAAUAAUGGUGUUCCAGGCAGCAAGACCUAAGAGAGGCAGUGAGUCCGUUGGCAAGCCAGCAGCAGUGAUCAACUAGAAUCGGUAAGUCUCUUCUCAUGAGUCUAAAUUUUGUAUAAAUCAUGGCAUCCUCGUUUAGAAAGUUUUUUAAGUCGAAAUAUGCAUCUGCAUCUUCGUCACAUACAACAAUUAAUUCAAGAGAAAUAAUGUCAAAAAUAACAUCCUUUAAUCAAGAAAUAACAAAUGAUAAAUUACCACAUAUCAAUCCAGACAACAUAUAUCAAAUUGGAACAUUUGAUUUUAAAACGGCAUAUUCAAUAAAAGAACAUGAGCAAACCUUGUCUCUUCAAAAUGAAUUUAAAGAGAUAAAAUUAUUAUCAUCACUCGCCUUAGACAAAUAUAAACAAAAAGGAUUUAAUUAUAUUCAUUUUGGACUUAUACAAAUUGCUAUCAAACCAUUAUCAAGAACGGGUAUAGAUUCACCUAUACUCAUGUUACUACGAGACAAAACCUUAUUAAAAUAUGAAGACUCCUUAUUAGGAGCUGUACAAUCAAACUUAUGUAACGGAGCAGUGUACUUUAAUUGUGCCCCAAAUUAUCAAGUUAGCCUACACGAUCCAACUAUAUUGAACACUUUAGUAUUAAAUGUUCAUUUACCAGAAAUGAAAUUUCAAAACGAAAGACAUGGUUAUUUAUUACUUUAUCGAAUUUACUUUAAACAAUCAACUUCUGAAUUUAAUCCAAGAUGCUUAUUACAAGAUGAUAAAGGAGAAACGACAAUAUUAGCAGUUCAUAGUAAAGAUGCUCCUACUGCUACUUACACACCUAAGCAAUUAAAAUGGAAUGAAAUAACUAUUCCAGACCAAUGGAAAAUAGAAAUUACACAACCCCCUAGAAAUUUUGAACAAAGAAAUAUUUCAAGAAUAUUCGAACAAAGAGAUGGUAAAAUAUUAUUACAAUUCGGAUCAUUUAGAGAACCACUUCCCCCAAGAAUUAACUCUUAUUAUUCAAAUUCAAGAGCCUCAUUUUCCGAAUAUCGUAAUAAUCAAACUAGUACAGAUUCUGAUACAGAAAGUGUAAAUCAAAAUACUCAACAAGAUAAUCAAAUUAAAUUUAAUGCUCCAAUAGCUGAACCUACUCAAUUAAGAUGUCCAACAUCACCUACUCCAUCAGAUUUUAAAUCUAUUAAUGUAAUAUUAAAAGAAUAUACAAUUAAUAAACAAUAUAUUAGAAAAGAUUUCUAUUCAAAAGAAAAUGAAGAAAAAAGAAAUUGGUAUUUCAAGAGAUUUUCUAAACAACAAACAAUUGAAUUAAGACAAGAUUGGUAUAACUUUAUGACAAUAAAAGAGAUAGAUAUUCCAUUUUUCACUUGGUUUGAAACAUAUGCAAUCUCUCAUAAUAUUAAUUAUCCAUUUAAAUCAAUAAAUACUAGUGCAUCUUUAAGUCAAAUAUGGGAAUUAUCGGAUGGUAAUAAAAUUAGGUCAGUCCAUCCACCCUUAAAAGAUUUAAAAAUAACUACACCUGAUAGAAUACUCGUAGCCUCACCCUUUAAAACAGGAGCUAAUCAAGAUGAUAAGAAUAUAAUAACACAACAAGAUAUUAAAGCAGUAUAUGAACAAAAUAAUUAUCAAAGUCAGUUACUCCAUACAAUAUCCAAACAAGUAAAUCACAUAGAUAAUAAAAUAAAUGAAAGUGAUAAAUUAUCUCUAGAUAAUCAAACUACCCAACAUCCCUUUUCAUCUGUAUCAACCCCAAUAUUUAAACCAAUUACAAGGCAAGUUAAAUUCGGUGAAAAUGAAAUUUUAAAAUCUAUAGCCAAUAGAUUAGACAAAUUAGACAAAGGUAAAAGUAUCAAUAAUAUAGAUGAAAACGAUAAUGAAUCUAUUCAAACAUCUAUAUCGUCAGAAAGUGAUAUACAAGAAAUAAAUAGAAUAAAAAAUAGAACUAUGAGAUCUAAUAAACCUUAUUAUUCAAGGCAUACCCCACCAGACUUAUUAUUUGAAGAACAUCAUAAAUAUUCUAACAAUAUGUAUUCAGGAAAUGGUAUUUUUUGAAUGGAACAUAGAUGGUAAAUCCGAAUACGAAAUAAUGAAUGUAUUACAAGAAAUGGGUAUGGCAACAGCAGCAUUUAAAACAGACAAAACAAUAACUGAUAAAGAAGCAUGUGUACUAUUAGUAGCAGGAUUUUCUAGAUCAUUAAAAUAUUGGUGGGAUAACGCAUUAGAUACUAAUCAACAAAACUCUAUAAUCAAUCAUGUAGAGAAAAUUUAUACAGAAGAUGAAGAUGGUUUCAUUAUUGAAACCGAAAAGUCCAAUGCAAUAGAAGUAUUAGUACACACUAUAUUAAUGCACUUUGUAGGCAAUCCAACCGAAGAAUUAGAAAGUAAAAGAAUAAUCCUAACAAAUUUACGAUGUCCUACACUAGGAGAUUUUAAAUGGUAUAAAGAUGUUUUUAUAACCAAUAUAUUUUUAAGACCAGAUUGUAAUCAACCUUUCUGGAAAGAAAGAUUCAUUUCAGGAUUACCGAAUUUCUUUGCAGAAAAAGUAAUCAAUAAACUUAAAGAAAUCUCUGGAGGACAACCGGUCCCCUGGAAUAAUAUAACUUAUGGGCAAUUAUUUGCAUUCGUUAAGAAAAUAGGAUUAUCAAGAUGUCAAGAACAAAAAGAUAAAAAACGUAACGAUAAAUUCAAAUUUAAAGUAACUAUGGGUUCAUUCUGUGAACAAUAUGGUUACGAAACCUUUAAUCCACCAUCCAGAGUUAAGCGUAUAAAGCAUAGGCAUAGAAGGUCUAAUCAAAUAGAAUAUCAUAAUAAAAGAAGAAAUUUUAACAAUAAAUCUAAUAACCAAAAAUAUUCAAAAAAUCAACAUUACUCUAAAAAUAAACGAUAUAAUACAACCAAUAAGCAAAAAAUAGUAUGUUGGAAUUGUAAGCGACCUGGACAUAGAUCCACGGAAUGCAAAAUGAAAAAGAAAAUUAAUGAAAUAUUCCAAAAUCAACCUGAUAUUCAAGAAAAAUUAUCUAAAUUAUUGUUAUCAGAAUCUGAGUCAUCUGAAGACUCAGAUAAUGAAUACUCAAUAAACGAAAUAGGAAAUUCAAGUGAUUCAUCCAGUGAAUCACAAGAGUUAUCCGAUAAUUUAUGCAAUUGUAAAAAUAUCAAUGUUAUAACCAAAGAAGAUGAUAAACAAUUUUUACUAGAAAUAAUAGAUAAAAUUGAUGACCCAAAUACUAAACGAGAAUAUUUAAUAAAAUUAAAAGAUAUGAUAAACCGAGAAAAUACUAGAGAAUCUCCGCAACCUUUUAGUUUACACAAAAUAUUCGAAAAAUAUCCAACUCAGAGUUUGUUUAAACAAGUAUCUACGGGAGAAUUACAAAAUGAAAUUAAACAAAUAAAGUCACAAAUUAAACGUUUACAAGAUAUUGUAAAUGAUCAAGACAUUAAGCAAUUACAAAUAAAUACAAGAUUAUCUCUGAUAGAAUCAAAGAAUAACAAUAAUACUCAAGCAUCCUCAAAUAGACAAAACUUAGAAAUUAAUGAAGAACAAGAUUCCGAAGAUUAUAUUCAAAUAAUCAAUAAAAUCAAUUAUCAAAAAUGGUAUACAAAUAUUACUUUACAUAUAGGAAAUGACUUUAAAUUAAACAUAAUAGCCUUAAUGGAUACUGGUGCAGAUUAUAACUGUAUCCGUGAAGGAGUUAUCCCAACAAAAUACUAUGAAAAAACUACUGAAAGAUUAAGCGGUGCUAAUGGUAGUAAUUUAAAAGUUCAAUAUAAACUACCAUGCGCAAAAAUAUGUAAUCAAGGUUAUUGUUUUAAAAAUCAAUUCAUUUUAGUCAAAAAUUUAUCACAAGAAGUAAUAUUAGGAACUCCAUUUUUUACUCAAAUAUAUCCCUUUAAAGUAACAGAACAAGGAAUAUCAACCAAGGUAGUAGGAACAAAAUUAUUAUUCAAUUUCCUAUCGCCUAUGAAGACUAAAGAAAUUCUUAAUCUUCAACAAAACACAAUAAAUAAAACGAUCAAUUUAAUAAAAAGUAAGCAAACCCAUAUCCAACAUUUACAGGAAGAAAUAACCUAUAAAAAAAUAGAAGAACAACUUAAUACUCAAUAUGUAAAAGAUAAAAUAAAAACUAUAGAAAACAAUUUGCUAAAUCAAAUUUGUUCCGAAUUACCAAAUGCAUUUUGGGAAAGGAAACAGCAUAAUGUUGAACUUCCCUAUAUACAAGACUUCAACGAGAAAAAUAUACCAACUAAAGCACGACCUAUUCAAAUGAAUAAAGAAUUAUUAGAAACCUGUAAACAAGAAAUAAACGAUCUAUUAAAAAAGAAAUUAAUCAGGCCAUCCAAAUCCCCUUGGAGUUGUUCGGCCUUUUAUGUUAAUAAUCAAGCUGAGAAAGAACGUGGAGUACCACGAUUAGUUAUUAAUUAUAAACCAUUAAACAAUGUAUUACAAUGGAUUAGAUAUCCCAUACCAAAUAAAAGAGAUUUACUCAAACGAUUAUAUAAUGCAAAGGUAUAUUCAAAAUUUGAUAUGAAAAGUGGAUUUUGGCAAAUCCAAGUAGCAGAAAAGGAUAAAUAUAAAACUGCAUUUACAGUACCAUUCGGACAUUACGAAUGGAAUGUAAUGCCAUUCGGCCUUAAAAACGCACCAUCUGAAUUUCAACAUAUAAUGAAUGAUAUAUUCAAUCAAUACUCAAAAUUCACUAUCGUCUAUAUUGAUGAUGUACUCGUCUACUCAACAUCUAUAGACCAACACUUUAGUCAUUUAAACACAUUCUUAAAUAUAAUUAAAAAACAUGGCUUGGUAGUAUCAGCCAAAAAGAUGUCAUUAUUCCAAACUAAAAUAAGGUUUUUAGGUCAUAAUAUAUAUCAAGGAACUAUCAUCCCUAUUUCAAGAUCGAUAGAAUUCGCAGCUAAAUUUCCAGAUGAAUUAAAAGAAAAAACUCAAUUACAAAGGUUUUUAGGGUGUCUGAACUAUGUUUCAGACUUUCUUCCUAAUCUUAGAAAAACUAUUCAACCGUUAUACCAACGAUUACAAAAAAAUCCAAAACCAUGGACUAGUCAACACACUAAAUUAGUUCAACAAAUUAAACAGAAGGUUAAAACUCUUCCGUGCCUUACUAUACCAAAUCCUGAAGCAUCUAUGAUUGUUGAAACGGAUGCAUCAGAAAUUGGCUAUGGUGGCAUUUUAAAGCAAAAAAUUUCAGAAAAUACUCAAGAAACAAUAGUAAGAUUCCACUCUGGUGUCUGGAUAGGACCGCAGAGAAAUUACUCCACAGUUAAAAAGGAAGUUCUUUCAAUUGUUAAUUGUAUAUCCAAAUUCCAAGAUGAUUUAAUCAAUAAGAAAUUCUUAUUACGAGUUGACUGUAAGUCAGCUAAAGAAAUAUUAAAAAAAGAUGUAAAAAACUUAGUAUCAAAACAAAUAUUUGCCAGAUGGCAAGCUAUCUUAUCUGUAUUCGAUUUUGAUAUUCAACAUAUUAAAGGAGAAAAUAAUUCUUUACCGGAUUUUCUAACAAGAGAAUAUUUACAGGGUAAAACAACAGAUAUUCAAGAUAAACAAAAUGACGGAUAAAAAGCAGAAGAAACCGAUGAGCGCAUCGGAUUAUAUCAAGCAUAUGCCACACCUCCAGGGCAAGCCCCUGACUACUCAAAACCAGUAUUCAGCUUUAGCAGAAUUUCCACCUCUAUCUUAUUCAAAGGCCGUAAUCUCACAGUCAGGCCAAUCCUCAAACACUAAUCAACCACCUUUUCAAAAAGCCAGUUAUCAUCUCAAAUCCUACAACCAACACUUAAACACAACCCACUAUACCAAAUAAAUCACCCUUAAAGAACUAUAUUCUUACACCAACCACCUCUUUUACGGUGAUGCCCUGAAUCCAACAGAUAACGUAACCAAAAACCGUACCUUUUAUGAGUAUAUUCUGGUAGACUCUAAAUCUAUCGAAGUUACUCAUUACCCAGAUCCAAAAAACCCUAACCAUAUCUCCUAUUCAACCUGUAAAAUACUCCGCGUUGCAUCUAUGCAACAGCUUGGUAUUCUCAACCUCCAUACCUCAAAAAACUUUUCUCAGCCUGGAUUUGUUCUCCCCGGCUAUACCUACGUUGACUAUAUGCAAGCCUUUUUUCGUGUUCUCUACCUACGACCCUAUGACCAUUCCUGGUUCUUAUCCUUUGACCAGCGGUUCAAUAAACACGUACCAGGUUGGUUCAACGAAUGGUGGCACUGGUUUGGACCCAUUGACCAAAUCUAUCCACCAGAAAUAAUCAAGACUUCUUAUCCAUUCUACACCAAACACCUACCCAACACCAAUCCCAUUGGACCUCUAAACAAAAUUUACUUCCAUACAGACAUGGGAAUUCCAUGGAUCUGUUCUUGGCAUUUCAACCUUGUCCUAGCCCUACCUAAUAUGCCAUACUCCUUAGUCAAAGAAUUUCGUGUCAAGUGGUGGGACAAAUAUAACAUCGAAAGAUGUUCUCUGACUAAUAUCAAGAAAUUAUUUGACGCAAAUAAACAAGACCACCUUUUAAUCAAAUCCGUCUCCCGCUCUAUUCCACUCUUAACCCCAUCACAAAUAGCCAACAUUCCUCCUUAUCAUCCACCAACCCAAAUCAAACAAGAACCACCAAGCCCAGCUAAAAACAAAAAACCAUCAAGCCCUACCCAUUCAUCCUCCUCAUCCCAAAAAUCCAAAUCAAAAAAAUCCAAACUUCAAGCUAUGAAGGAAACCCUCAAGGCACUUAGUCAAGAAAUGAUGAAUAUAUCGUCCGACGACGAUAGUGUUCACGGUCAAGAACCCGCCGAAAAUCCUGAAGAUCUAUUUGGCGGACCAUUAAGUCAAGACCCUUUUGAUUUGUAAAAAAAAAAAAAAAAAAAAAAAAAAAAAUUCAUCUCAGAUUUUACGACUCACUGGCAAGGUAGAUGUUCCUGGCUGCAAGUCCUGAGCGUAGGCCGUAAGACCGAUGGUAAAUCUCCUUUGUGCGUCUCCAAAAAAAAAAAAAAAAAAAAAAAAAAAACCCAAUAGUAUUGUAUAGUUUUAAAUUUACCUUUAAUAAUGUAUAUUCUGGUAGACUCUAUAUAUUAUUUUAAGCUUUAUGUGUAUUCCGGCUAUAUGCUACACCAGUUAACAUCAAAAUAAAAUACAGAGUAUAUCUCUGUAAAAUCGAAGAAUAAAUCAAGACACAGGAAAUAUGACGCAAGCAUGACGUAAGCAAAGAUGUAAGCAAUAACGCAAGCAAGACGUAAGCAAGGACGUAAGCAAUGACGCAAGCAAUGACGUAAUCAAAACUGUCGGCACCGUUAGAUGAACGACACAUGUCACAAGAGUGUCGGCACCAUCUGAUGAGCUCCACGUAUCAAGACUCUAUACACAAUCUUCUCCUAUAAAUAUGCCCUCAAAACAAAGGAGAAGGACGAGCAAAAAAUUCAGAUUUUCUCUCUCUCGAAAAAGCUCUCCCUUCUCUCUAAAAAUUGUAA
rnacentral:lncRNA from 1 species